rnacentral:rRNA from 1 species
UACGAGGCGGGCAAGCGUUGUUCGGAAUUAUUGGGCGUAAAGGGCGCGUAGGCGGUUUGACAAGUCUGAUGUGAAAUCUCUGGGCUCAACCCAGAGUCUGCAUUAGAAACUGUCGGGCUUGAGUAUGGGAGAGGUGAGUGGAAUUUCCGGUGUAGCGGUGAAAUGCGUAGAUAUCGGAAGGAACACCUGUGGCGAAAGCGGCUCACUGGACCAUAACUGACGCUGAGGCGCGAAAGCUAGGGGAGCAAAUGGG